GACGAACGCUGGCGGCGUGCUUAACACAUGCAAGUCGAACGGAAAGGCCCUGCUUUUGUGGGGUGCUCGAGUGGCGAACGGGUGAGUAACAGGAGAGUAACCUGCCCUUGACUUUGGGAUAACUACAGGAAACUGGGGCUAAUACCGGAUAGGAGCUCCUGCGGCAUGGUGGGGGUGGGAAAGUUUCGGCGGUUGGGGAUGGACUCGCGGCUUAUCAGCUUGUUGGUGGGGUAGUGGCUUACCAAGGCUUUGACGGGUGGCCGGCCUGAGAGGGUGACCGGCCACAUUGGGACUGAGAUACGGCCCAGACUCCUACGGGAGGCAGCAGUGGGGAAUAUUGCACAGUGGGCGGAAGCCUGAUGCAGCAACGCCGCGUGCGGGAUGACGGCCUUCGGGUUGUAAACCGCUUUCGCCUGUGACGAAGCGUGAGUGACGGUAAUGGGUAAAGAAGCACCGGCUAACUACGUG
rnacentral:rRNA from 1 species